CAGCCGCCGCGGUAAUACGAAGGGUGCAAGCGUUAAUCGGAAUUACUGGGCGUAAAGCGUGCGUAGGCGGUUUGUUAAGUCUGCUGUGAAAUCCCCGGGCUCAACCUGGGAAUGGCAGUGGAUACUGGCAAGCUAGAGUGUGUCAGAGGAUGGUGGAAUUCCCGGUGUAGCGGUGAAAUGCGUAGAGAUCGGGAGGAACAUCAGUGGCGAAGGCGGCCAUCUGGGACAACACUGGCGCUGAGGCACGAAAGCGUGGGGAGCAAACAGGAUUAGAUACCCCGGUAGUCCCUGUCUCUUAUAC
rnacentral:rRNA from 1 species